rnacentral:rRNA from 1 species
AACGAACGCUGGCGGCAUGCCUAACACAUGCAAGUCGAACGAGACCUUCGGGUCUAGUGGCGCACGGGUGCGUAACGCGUGGGAACCUGCCCUUAGGUUCGGAAUAACUCCCCGAAAGGGGUGCCAAUACCGGAUAAUGUCUUCGGACCAAAGAUUUAUCGCCUUUGGAUGGGCCCGCGUUGGAUUAGCUAGUUGGUAGGGUAAAAGCCUACCAAGGCGACGAUCCAUAGCUGGUCUGAGAGGAUGAUCAGCCACACUGGGACUGAGACACGGCCCAGACUCCUACGGGAGGCAGCAGUGGGGAAUAUUGGACAAUGGGCGAAAGCCUGAUCCAGCAAUGCCGCGUGAGUGAUGUAGGCCUUAGGGUUGUAAAGCUCUUUUACCCGGGAUGAUAAUGACAGUACCGGGAGAAUAAGCUCCGGCUAACUCCGUG